rnacentral:rRNA from 1 species
CGGCGAGUGAAGCGGCAACAGCUCAAAUUUGAAAUCUGGCCUCGGCCCGAGUUGUAAUUUGCAGAGGAUGCUUCUGGCGCGGUGCCUUCCGAGUUCCCUGGAACGGGACGCCACAGAGGGUGAGAGCCCCGUAUGGUCGGACACCAAGCCUGUGUGAAGCUCCUUCGACGAGUCGAGUAGUUUGGGAAUGCUGCUCUAAAUGGGAGGUAAAUCUCUUCUAAAGCUAAAUACCGGCCAGAGACCGAUAGCGCACAAGUAGAGUGAUCGAAAGAUGAAAAGCACCUUGAAAAGGGGGUUAAAUAGUACGUGAAAUUGUUGAAAGGGAAGCACUUGUGACCAGACUUGGGCCGGGCGGCUCAUCAGGGGUUCUCCCCUGUGCACUCCGCCCGGCACAGGCCAGCAUCGGUUCUCGUGGGGGGAUAAGACCGUCAGGAACGUAGCACCCUCCGGGGUGUGUUAUAGCCUGGCGGACGAUACCCCCGUGGGGACCGAGGUUCGCGCUCCGCAAGGAUGCUGGCGUAAUGGUCACCA